GCCCCACUGACCGCCGCCGCUUGAGCUGACCUGACCCCGAGCCGAGCCGUACACCACCGGAGGAGGAGGAGGAAGCCGGCGAGGUGACGCUGCGAGAUCGGGAGGUAGGGUUCGGGGGGAGGUUUUGGGUUUGGUGGAUGGUCACGGCGGCGGCGGAGUUCGUCGAUGGGCAGGUCGUUCAGGGACUCGCUGAAGGUGCUCGAGGCCGACAUCCAGCACGCCAACUCGCUUGCUGCUGAAUUUAGAAGGGAAUAUGAUGGCGCCUGUCUUCAGAUGAGAAUGUCAUACUGUCCAGCUGCACACUUCUUCCUUUUUCUUGUGCAGUGGACAGAUUGCAACCUUGCUGGUGCACUUGGGCUGUUGAGGAUUCUCAUUUAUAAGGUUUAUGCUGAUGGGACUACCACCAUGUCUGCUCAUGAAAGGAAAGCAAGCAUUAGGGAAUUCUAUGCUGUCAUAUUUCCUUCUUUGAUGCAACUACAUGAAGGGAUCAAUGAAGUGGAAGACAAGAAACAAAAGGCAAUCUGUAUAGAAAGAUAUAGAAGACGAGAUGAAGAUCAGAAAAUGGUGAUUUCAGAGAUUGAUGAUAACAUCGAGGAGGAAUGUGGCAUAUGUAUGGAGAUAAAUGGCAAAGUAGUUCUUCCAACUUGUAGCCAUGCUAUGUGCAUUAAAUGCUACCGUGACUGGAGAUCAAGAUCCCAGUCUUGUCCAUUCUGCCGCGAUAGUCUCAAGAGAGUGAACUCGGCCGACCUAUGGAUAUAUACAGAUAACAGGGACAUAGUGGACAUAGCGACGGUCCGAAAGGAAAAUCUUAGGCGGCUCUUCAUGUACAUAGACAAGUUGCCCACGUGCUGUAGAAAUUGUGGAGCCCUUGGUGUUCAUGCUGCCCCGCUUGUAGAAGCUGUAAGCAGCUAAGCUCGCCGAGGAGGCUCGCUAUACAAAGGUAUAUAUGUAAAUUGUCUUGGCUGUAUGGUGUGUACCUUUGUGAGGAGUUAGGAGAAUCUGAUGCCAGUCAGUCUGUAAGUAAGGAAGAACCAGCAACCAUUGACUUUGUUUCUUUUAAUUGUAAGCAUUUCACUUUCACCCAUGAAACAGUGAAGAAUGCCAUCCUGACAGCUUGAUUGCUCCUGUACGAUGCUGUUGCUCGUUGUGAAUGGGGAGUUUUCAGUUCCUGGAAGAAGAAUCAAGAAAUGGAGGGCCACUGAUUUGAUCGUGCACAGAAGUGAGACAAGAGUCUGAACUGUAACCUGUCACAUGUGUGUCAUUUACUUCAGUGGGUUACUGGGCUCAGCUUCAGAACACUUCAGAGGGCUCCCGGAAUGGUCCAGCUUCAGAGUGAAAACGCCUGUCGGAGCGCGUGACAAAGCUCAAAGCAAUUUAAAGGAUUCCUCAUGAAGUCAUGACAAAAGAGACGGCUACAACCUUUUUCGGUCACACAGAAUUUCGUACCUCCAUAUUUUGCGAAGCUUCUUUUUUAAAAUAAUUUGGUAGAUAUGUGGUGCAAAAAAUUCCCUUAAUGUGGCUUAUAAUCCGAAGCAAAAUGCACUUCAAAGAUGUUUUGGAAAUGGUCAGUUGCAGUACGACUGUACAAGAUUGUAUAAAUAUAUUGUAGCUUUGAACUUUGAUCACUCAUAAUACAACUGGGAUGAGUCCGUUCAGGUUA